UACGUAGGGACCGAGCGUUGUCCGGAAUCAUUGGGCGUAAAGAGCGUGUAGGCGGCCACUUAAGUCCUGCGUGAAAUCUUGCGGCUCAACCGCAAGCGGUCGUGGGAAACUGGGUGGCUAGAGUGCGGGAGAGGGGAGUGGAAUUCCUGGUGUAGCGGUGGAAUGCGCAGAUAUCAGGAGGAACACCGAUGGCGAAGGCAGCUCGCUGGGACGGUACUGACGCUGAGGCGCGAAAGCGUGGGGAGCGAACAGG
rnacentral:rRNA from 1 species